CCUACGGGAGGCAGCAGUGAGGAAUAUUGGUCAAUGGACGAGAGUCUGAACCAGCCAAGUAGCGUGAAGGAUGACUGCCCUAUGGGUUGUAAACUUCUUUUAUAUGGGAAUAAAACGUUCCACGUGUGGGAUUUUGUAUGUACCAUAUGAAUAAGGAUCGGCUAACUCCGUGCCAGCAGCCGCGGUAAUACGGAGGAUCCGAGCGUUAUCCGGAUUUAUUGGGUUUAAAGGGAGCGUAGGUGGAUUGUUAAGUCAGUUGUGAAAGUUUGCGGCUCAACCGUAAAAUUGCAGUUGAAACUGGCAGUCUUGAGUACAGUAGAGGUGGGCGGGAUUCGUGGUGUAGCGGUGAAAUGCUUAGAUAUCACGAAGAACUCCGAUUGCGAAGGCAGUUCACUGGACUGCAACUGACACUGAGGCUCGAAAGUGUGGGUAUCAAACAGGAUUAGAUACCCCAGUAGUC
rnacentral:rRNA from 1 species